rnacentral:rRNA from 1 species
CUACGGGGUGCAGCAGUGAGGAAUAUUGCACAAUGGGGGGAACCCUGAUGCAGCAACGCCGCGUGGAGGAUGACGCAUUUCGGUGUGUAAACUCCUUUUAUAUGUCAAGAAAAUGACGGUAGCAUAUGAAUAAGCACCGGCUAACUCCGUGCCAGCAGCCGCGGUAAUACGGAGGGUGCAAGCGUUACUCGGAAUCACUGGGCGUAAAGGACGCGUAGGCGGGUUGGAAAGUCAGGUGUGAAAUCCUACAGCUUAAAUGUAGAACUGCACUUGAAACUUCUAAUCUAGAGUAUGGGAGGGGGAGAUGGAAUUAGUGGUGGAGGGGUAAAAUCCGUAGAUAUCACUAGGAAUACCUAAAGCGAAGGCGAUCUCCUGGAACAUUACUGACGCUAAGGCGUGAAAGCGUGGGGAGCAAACAGGAUUAGAUACCCGAGUAGUC